GGCUGGCCCCAGUGCAGGGGUGUUUAUGGCUAGUUGAUCACAACCAGUUGGAGAUUUGUUUGUUCCUUUUCUACUCCCACUGCUCCACUUAACCAGCCUUUG
rnacentral:Y_RNA from 1 species